ACGUAGGGUGCAAGCGUUAAUCGGAAUUACUGGGCGUAAAGCGUGCGCAGGCGGUUGUGCAAGACAGGUGUGAAAUCCCCGGGCUUAACCUGGGAACUGCACUUGUGACUGCACGGCUUGAGUGCGGCAGAGGGGGAUGGAAUUCCGCGUGUAGCAGUGAAAUGCGUAGAUAUGCGGAGGAACACCGAUGGCGAAGGCAAUCCCCUGGGCCUGCACUGACGCUCAUGCACGAAAGCGUGGGGAGCAAACAGGAUUAGAUACCCUGGUAGUCCACGCCCUAAACUAUGUCAACUGGUUGUUGGGAGGGUUUCUUCUCAGUAACGUAGCUAACGCGUGAAGUUGACCGCCUGGGGAGUACGGCCGCAAGGUUG
rnacentral:rRNA from 1 species